rnacentral:lncRNA from 1 species
UUAUUAUAACACUUUACAACACCAAUUCUGACAUCAUCAAUUUCAAUAUUUUAAAAGUGAAGAAUUAAUCAUUUUUUGUCCAAUCUUAUAGAAAGCUAUAUGAUAAAUGACAUUGUAAUUGUAGAAAAAUAAAUCAAAGACAAACCCAACAUAUAAUGAAUGCUAAUUUAGAUUAAAUAAUGAUUAAAAUAUGUAAAAUGAAAAAGAAAAAGAAUAAUUUAGCAUGUUCAACAAUAUGCACGAUUAUAGCACUACUUACUUAAGUACCUUUUGACUCAAAAAUACAAUUUUUAAAUUUUUAAAAAGUAAAUGCUGUUAUUGCUAAGUUUAUUACAAAAUUUUGCGAAUGUCAAUUUCAAAUAUUAAAUCCAAGAUGAAAAAAAAAUUACCGAAAAUUAACAAAACUUGAUGGGACCAUUAUCAACCGUGGGAUUAAUUACGUUGUCGGUCGGUCUGAGCUCCUCCACCUCUAGGCACACCGGGCAGCGUUGGACGCCUUGCAGCUUUCCCCUUUGUGCCUCUUUCUAGGACCGUCACUUGCUACAAAAUAAACAACAAUAACAAAAAAUAUUUAUUUUAUUUUAUUAUAUUUUAUAAAUUUUUAAUAAAAUCGAGUUUUGUAAUCAUACAAACAGCGGCUAUGCUGGCUGUGAGCUUUUUUUUUUUAAAAAAAUAAGAAGUUAGAACAACUUACCUGCAUGGAUCCCAACUUGGGUCGUUCUUGCCCAUCUUCAUUUAUUAUUUCUGCAGAAGAAAUAAAAUGACCAAAAUAACUGAAAAUAAAAGAAUGUAGCAUAAAAUUGGGUUCGCAUUCGUUAAUAACUCCCAGUUACCAUUAGAAGUUCUGCAACAUUUGCCAGCUCCAAUCAUCUGGAAAAAUCCCUUCUUCAGACCUCGAGCAAGUUUCUUCAUUUGAUCAAAAAUUCUUUUGUGGGACUUGUGCUGAAGUUAUGAAAACAUGAAACUCAAAUCUUCAGAUCUGCAGUGGCUGCUUUGCCCAGAUGUCGACAGUAGAAAUAGUAAAGGAAAGCUAGCAGCUUUGCAGCCCAUGUGAAACAAUUUGAUAUUGUAAGGUGGUGUAAUUAUUAUGUUAUUGGAAGCAAUUAUACAAAAGCUUAUCAUGAAUGUUAAUUGCAAUCAUUUUCCUUUUUCAGCACAACAAGCAAUCCAAUAUAAUUCUUCCCACUAAUUCCCUCUUCUUAUUCCUUCAAUAAAAAGAAAAAAUUUGUAUCUCUACUAAUGUAACAUUCGAUAGAACAACAUUAUAAAUUAUCUUAUUUGUGUCUCAUGUUAUUUGAGAUACAACGUAAUAUAAUAUAACAAGUCAUUAUGCAUUAAGUGUAUGUUUGAUAUUAAAAUACUAUAUCUUUUAAGUUAUACCUUUUGUUAAAAAAAUUAUGACAAUGAUA